GAUGAACGCUAGCUGCAGGCUUAAUACAUGCAAGUCGAGGGGUAACAGAGAGUGCUUGCACUCUGCUGACGACCGGCGCACGGGUGAGUAACGCGUAUGCAACCUACCUUUUACAGAGGGAUACCCAAGAGAAAUUUUGAAUAAUACCUCAUAAGCUCUAUUUAUAGCAUUUUAAAUAGAGGAAAACUCCGGUGGUAAAAGAUGGGCAUGCGUCCUAUUAGUUUGUUGGUAAGGUAACGGCUUACCAAGA
rnacentral:rRNA from 1 species